rnacentral:rRNA from 1 species
UACGUAGGGUGCAAGCGUUAAUCGGAAUUACUGGGCGUAAAGCGUGCGCAGGCGGCUAUGCAAGACAGAUGUGAAAUCCCCGGGCUCAACCUGGGAACUGCAUUUGUGACUGCAUAGCUAGAGUACGGUAGAGGGGGAUGGAAUUCCGCGUGUAGCAGUGAAAUGCGUAGAUAUGCGGAGGAACACCGAUGGCGAAGGCAAUCCCCUGGACCUGUACUGACGCUCAGGCACGAAAGCGUGGGGAGCAAACAGG